AACGUAGGAGACAAACGUUAUCCGGAGUUACUGGGCGUAAAGGGCGUGUAGGUGGUUCGUAAGUCUGGCGUGAAAUUUCUCGGCUUAACCGAGGCAGGUCGUCGGAUACUGCGAGACUAGAGGACGGUAGAGGCGUGUGGAAUUCCGGGUGUAGUGGUGAAAUGCGUAGAGAUCCGGAGGAACACCAGUGGCGAAGGCGACACGCUGGGCCGUACCUGACACUGAGGCGCGAUAGCAUGGGGAGCAAACAGGG
rnacentral:rRNA from 1 species